rnacentral:rRNA from 1 species
UUUUCAGUUAAAGCCGAGGUGGUAAAGGAUGGGCAUGCGUGACAUUAGCUAGUUGGUGAGGUAACGGCUCACCAAGGCUUCGAUGUCUAGGGGUUCUGAGAGGAAGAUCCCCCACACUGGUACUGAGACACGGACCAGACUCCUACGGGAGGCAGCAGUGAGGAAUAUUGGUCAAUGGGCGAGAGCCUGAACCAGCCAUCCCGAGGAAGAAUGCCCUAUGGGUUGUAAACUGCUUUUUCGCAUGAAGACGGACGUGUCCGGGACUGACGGUAAUGCGUGAAUAAGCACCGGCUAACUCCGUGCCAGCAGCCGCGGUAAUACGGAGGGUGCAAGCGUUAUCCGGAUUUAUUGGGUUUAAAGGGUGCGUAGGCGGCUAUUUAAGUCAGUGGUGAAAUCCUGCAGCUCAACUGUAGAACAGCCAUUGAAACUGAAUAGCUUGAGUGAUCUUGAGGUAAGCGGAAUGUGUAGUGUAACCGGUGAAAUGCUU